rnacentral:rRNA from 1 species
UACGAAGGGUGCAAGCGUUACUCGGAAUUACUGGGCGUAAAGCGUGCGUAGGUGGUUUGUUAAGUCUGAUGUGAAAGCCCUGGGCUCAACCUGGGAACGGCAUUGGAAACUGGCUUACUAGAGUGCGGUAGAGGGGUGUGGAAUUCCCGGUGUAGCAGUGAAAUGCGUAGAUAUCGGGAGGAACAUCUGUGGCGAAGGCGACUACCUGGCCUGUUCUUGACGCUGAGGCGCGAAAGCUAGGGGAGCAAACGGG